rnacentral:rRNA from 1 species
GCGGCAUGCUUAACACAUGCAAGUCGAACGGCAGCACAGCAGAGCUUGCUCUGUGGGUGGCGAGUGGCGGACGGGUGAGUAAUGCAUCGGGACCUACCCAACUGUGGGGGAUAACGUAGGGAAACUUACGCUAAUACCGCAUACGUCCUACGGGAGAAAGCGGGGGACCUUCGGGCCUCGCGCGGUUGGAUGGACCGAUGUGCGAUUAGUUUGUUGGUGAGGUAAUGGCUCACCAAGGCGACGAUCGCUAGCUGGUCUGAGAGGAUGAUCAGCCACACUGGGACUGAGACACGGCCCAGACUCCUACGGGAGGCAGCAGUGGGGAAUAUUGGACAAUGGGCGCAAGCCUGAUCCAGCAAUGCCGCGUGUGUGAAGAAGGCCUUCGGGUUGUAAAGCACUUUUAUCAGGAGCGAAAUCUGCAGGGCUAAUACCCAUGCAGUCUGACGGUACCUGAGGAAUAAGCGCCGGCUAACUCCGUG